CUGGAGAAAACUCACAAACCUGGACCAAAGUGGAGAUCUCAGAUAUUUUCCUAAAACAUGAAAACUGCUGGAAGACAUUGGUGUUAAAUAGAUUUUAUUCCUGUAAUUCAAUGAUUAUUUUUAAUCUCUAUUCAGUUUCAUUGGACUUGACGCAACAUCAACUGUGAUGUUACCAGUGUCAGUUGUGUCUGUUUCACCCUGUGAUAAAAGGAAAUAAAAUGAUUUAAUGAAAGCGAAUAA